GAGCUGUCCAAGGCCAGGUGUCAGCACAACAUGGAUGCAGUGGUACUUGCUAAACAGCCUGUCACGGAACAAGGGUCUUGAAGGAAAUUUUGAAGGGAAGGGAGAACUUGGAGAUGUAGGCAGCCCAGGGUCCAAGGGGAAAGCAGUACAGCUUUGGAGUUGGCUGAGACAGGCUCCUGAUCCCACUGUGCUUCCUGUGUUCAACUGGGAUGCCCCAACACCUCCAAAGGAGGGAGAAGGAGGGAGGAAAAAGCACAGCAGAGCUGUGGCCAGAGAUGUGUGGCCAGGGAAGCUAGCCAGAGGGAGCAGACAGUAACAAGGACAAAGGUGAAGGUCAAACUGGUUUUAUUUCUACUUUAUGCCAAUUUUUUCCUUGAUUUGAUCUAUUGCAUAUUAAAGAGUUUUAAAAAUUGGACUGGCUUGGAUCAAAGUUUAUUGACCUCUGAGUGAGAAGGAGCAUAUUAUUGCACUGAGACUGAAGAUCUAAAGCAUGCAGGUGUAGCUCACAGCAGUAUGGAAGGCCCUGGUUCCUACCUUCUCAGAAUUUAGGGUCUAGUGUAUAGGAAGGUGAUGGUAA
rnacentral:lncRNA from 1 species